ensembl:snRNA U6 U6 spliceosomal RNA
GUGCUCGUUUUGGCAACACAUAUACUAAAACGGGCGACACAGAGAAGUGCAGCCUCGCCCCUGCAAAGGUUGACACGAAAAGUAGUGAAGGGUUCCGAUCUUAU